rnacentral:rRNA from 1 species
AUUGAACGCUGGCGGCGUGCCUAACACAUGCAAGUCGAGCGGUAGCAGGCGUAGCAAUACGUGCUGACGAGCGGCGAACGGGUGAGCAAUGCUUCGGAAUCUGCCCAAUGGUGGGGAAUAACUAGCCGAAAGGUUAGCUAAUACCGCAUACGCCCUCAGGGGGAAAGCAGGGGAUCGCAAGACCUUGCGCCGAUGGAUGAGCCGAAGUCGGAUUAGCUAGUUGGUAGGGUAACGGCCUACCAAGGCGACGAUCCGUAGCUGGUCUGAGAGGACGACCAGCCACACUGGGACUGAGACACGGCCCAGACUCCUACGGGAGGCAGCAGUGGGGAAUAUUGGACAAUGGGCGAAAGCCUGAUCCAGCGACGCCGCGUGUGUGAAGAAGGCCUGCGGGUUGUAAAGCACUUUUAGUGGGGAUGAAAAGCCUAGGGUUAAUACCCCUGGGUCUUGACCUAACCCACAGAAAAAGCACCGGCUAACUCUGUG